CUGUGUUCUUAUUUUUAUUAUCUAAGUUUAUAGUGUUCUCUGUUUUAAUUAUUUAAUUUGAGUUUGUGGUUUGGUGUUCUAAUUUAUGUUAUUUUAAUUUUAGUGUUGUUCUAAUUUAUGGCUUAUUUUUUGUUAGGCAAAGAUGUGUAUAAUUUUACAUUGUCCUGUUUUAUGAUAAAAGCUGAAUCCUUUUUUUUAUUUUUUUUAUCAUGACAGGUAUAGGAUGCAUCCAGAGAUAUGGAAAUCCUCUUGAAUGCAUUUUGAUGACAAUAAAGCACAAAAUAGGAGCCAAUAAUGUAUAUUUUAUGGAUUGCUGCUGGUUGUUGACUUGUUUAUUUUAUUGUUGCUGCCUUGCUGGUUGUUCUGUUGAAUUACUGAAACUGCUUCUUGAUUAUCAGCAGACCUUUUGUC